GACGUAGGGUGCAAGCGUUGUCCGGAUUUAUUGGGCGUAAAGAGCUCGUAGGCGGCUCGUCGCGUCGACCGUGAAAACUCUGGGCUUAACCCGGGGCUUGCGGUCGAUACGGGCGGGCUAGAGUUCGGUAGGGGAGACUGGAAUUCCUGGUGUAGCGGUGAAAUGCGCAGAUAUCAGGAGGAACACCGGUGGCGAAGGCGGGUCUCUGGGCCGAUACUGACGCUGAGGAGCGAAAGCGUGGGGAGCGAACAGG
rnacentral:rRNA from 1 species